UUCAUCUUCCUCACCCCUCAGAACUUCGUUACCCCUAACAAACCCUAGCAACACCGCCCUAACUCCUACCGCCAUAGCCCGGCGGCGCCGACUCCAAUCCUUACCAAAAACACACAAUAGAACCACCCUAAUCCCCUCGUUCCAAAUACCAACUCCGUUUCCCUCGAGUGUCACCCAAUCCUCGCGAAUAUUAGAUCAGAAAUUGAACCGUAAAAUCCCUAGGUCUCAAAUCAAGGGUUCGUUGAAGACUUUAAGGCUCAGUCCGACUUUAAUCGCGUGUCUUUGACAAAGAACAUAUGAUUAAUCUCGGACUGGACCGAAAAUUGGAGAUUUCGAGGCGUAAACGAUAGUUCUUGUUUGUCCGAGAUCCCUAGGUAUUUUGUCUUUACCCUUUGGUAUUUUGUCUCCUCAUCCUCACUUUCUUCUACUCUUUCUCUUAUUUUUUUUUUGAUUUUCGUUCUGUUUCUUUAUUUAUCAUUCUUCUUUAUCUUCCGUAUCUGCAUGUUAGAUUUAGGAUGUGUGUGAUUGUAAGUUGGGCCUCGUGUUCAAGUUCAGAUAGUUUGAAUUUGCAUCGUUUUGGGCUUAACUUUGUUCCGAGUCUUUAGGGUUCUUAAUUUAAUCGUUUGGGUUUUGGGUUUUUUUUCUAGUAUUGAUUGGGUUCACAAGAUUAAAAAGCCUAAUAGAGAGUUGAACUAGGUUUCAGUUGACCCAAUCAGCUUGACCCAAUUAGCUUGACCAGUUGACCCGGGUGGUGUUGAGGUAGUUUCAGAGUUUUUAAAGGGUAGUGUAGGUAAUCUAGCUAAAGAAUCUUUUGGGUAACUGACUUAGAAGCUUCUAGUAGGGGUCUUUUAUGGAAUUUCAGAUUUUAGCUUGGGUAACAAGUCAGAAAAUGGAGGAUUAACUGGCAAAAAUGAAAAUCAGGGAGCGACUAGAAGUGCAAAGGAAAACUUUUGUGUCUGCCCUAUUUGCUGGCCUAUAAAGGCAUUCUUACUAGCCUUAGAAGGUAGGGAUUAAGAACUUUAAAGUAGAGAACAUUGGAAACUGCUGAAAAAUACUGAAAGGGUUUGAAUAAUCAGAAAAAAUACAAAGAAAAAUCACAAAAUCACUGUUACAUUGAAGUUUUUCUGCAAUUCUUGGGGUUUUCAAGUUUUGAAGUAAUCUCUGAUUCAUUCUGGGUUCGAAAUGGUUUAAAGAAGCUGGAUUUGCUGUUGUUGAAAUGCUGAAGUGCAUCCAUUUCUACUGCUGAUCUUCUCACCUUUUCUUUUGCUCUAAUUGCAUCAGGUACUCUUUUGAACUGUGACUGGAAAUGAUGCCUGAUUGAGUCUCUGUGUGAAGAUCUGUAAAUCGAGUUGAAGUUAAAUGACAAACAUUAGUGUUGAUUACUGCUUGAUUCUGCCAUUUUUCUUUAUUUAUUUCAUGUUUGCCUAGUCUAGCUUAUUUUGCAUACUCCAUUCCUUGAUAUUACAUUUGUUUUAAGUGAUGGAUCGGGACCUUGUCUGAAUGUAGUUGAUUCAGGAGUAUUUAUUUAGACUUAGUGUAAUAUGUGUUAGUUGAGGAUCGUGAUCAUUAGUCUAAUCAGUGUAAUAUGUGUUAGUCCAAUGAUGUCAAAGUGUCACUUAGUUCUGCUUCUGCCUGUGUAUGAGCUUCUUGCAUUUUUAAAAGGGCUUUCGACUGGGUAUAGAGUGAAAAUUUCUUGUUGAAGCCAUAUUGUCAAACAUAUACAUGUGUUCGAGGUCCUUUCAGGUAUUUUGAUGGAAACUGAAAUAAGAAUUGGUUGUGUUUGAUAGCUAGGCUAGUUAUGUGAACGAUAAUGAUGUUCUAGGGAAGAUUCAUUCAGUGUUUCAAUUUCAGUAAUGAUUGGUAAUGGGUCUGUUGUUAUUUGGGCAUGGAAUGUUCUAUUUUGGCAAGAUAGGGAGAUCGCCUGUUGAGUUUUGUUGAAAUAAAUCUCACUAGGAAUUGCAUAUUCACUUCAGAAGAUGUUAACAUUAAAAUAUGCUUUGCAUUUGAGUCAAGGAUUAUCAGAAUUGGUUCAAACUCAGAUUUU
rnacentral:lncRNA from 1 species